AGAUCGGUAGCUUAGUUGGAAAAGCACUUGUCUAGCGAAUAAGGGUCGUGAGUUCAAAUCACACCUUAGCCU
rnacentral:tRNA from 1 species